UACAGAGGUCCCAAGCGUUGUUCGGAUUCACUGGGCGUAAAGGGUGCGUAGGCGGCCGGGUAAGUCUGCUGUGAAAUCCCGCAGCUCAACUGCGGAACUGCAUUGGAUACUAUCCGGCUAGAGGAAUGGAGGGGAGACUGGAAUUCUCGGUGUAGCAGUGAAAUGCGUAGAUAUCGAGAGGAACACCAGUGGCGAAGGCGAGUCCCUGGACAAAACCUGACACUGAGGCACGAAAGCUAGGGGAGCAAACAGG
rnacentral:rRNA from 1 species